rnacentral:rRNA from 1 species
UACGAGGGGUGCAAGCGUUGCUCGGAAUUAUUGGGCGUAAAGGGUAGGUAGGUGGUCUUGUUUGUCUGAGGUGAAAGCCCAGGGCUUAACCCUGGAAGUGCCUCAGAAACGGCAAGACUCGAGUCCUGGAGAGGGUCGUGGAAUUCCCGGUGUAGCGGUGAAAUGCGCAGAUAUCGGGAGGAACACCGGUGGCGAAGGCGGUUCUCUGGGCCUGUACUGACGCUGAGGAGCGAAAGCGUGGGGAGCGAACAGG